rnacentral:lncRNA from 1 species
AUUAUGAGUUGUACUGUUGCAACAUGUAACUCAUAUACAUCACUGGUCCAAAUGAUAAGCAGCAUGAUGUCAUAGCUAUUUUCCUACUGCUAUGAUUAAAAAACACUGUGACCAAAACAACUUAAUAGACAAGAGGUUUAUUUGGGUUUGCAGGUCCAGAAGGGUAUGAAUAAUCAUAAAUGAGGAAGACAUGGCAACACAUAGGGAAGGCAUGGUAGAAAGAAAAGAAAUCCUAACAGAUUAUAUUUUAUUCACACUGAGGAAACAGAAUAAAUAGGAAAUGAAAUAAAAUUAUGUAGCUUCAAUUCCUGCCCACAGUGGCCUUUACUGAGGAUCUACCUCCUAAAGAUUCUGCUACAUCUCUAAACAGCACCACAAGCCAGAAACCAAUGUUAGACAAAUUUAUUGGAGACACUACAAAGUACCUCACGUUGGCAGGCCAUCUUAUUCACACUGUCCUCAUUAUGGCAGAGGUGACUUCAUCUGAAUGUUGGCCAUAGGAAGGAAAUACAGGAUGAGGAAAUAAGACUAUGUUUUAUUCAAACACUUUCCCUGAAAAUGUGUAUAAGUAUUUUUCUGCUCACAUUCCAUUGGCCAGAUAUGUAUGUCACCUCCAAUGGAAGUGAGACUACAAAGCAAGAAUUGGCUGUAAAUAUUGUUGAAUAUCUGUCAAUGCUGAGCAUUUGUGAAGCUUCAGGUUGAAGCCCUAGGCUGAUCUUGUCCAAGUUAUAGAAAAACUAAAAACAAAAAACAAAAAAAAAAAAAAAAAGAAGAAGAAGAAGGAUUCUUAGAGUAAUGGAGGAAGUGGAUCCACAAAUAUAAUGUUGUCCUGUGGAGAAAUUGUAAAGGACCCAGGAGUUAGAGUGCAACACUGCUGAUAGAAAGAGUGAGGAGACAGGAGAAUGGGACUGGGUCAGGACAUCUGCAGAGGAGAUAUAUCCAUUUUCCUGUGGUUAGCAUAAAUCCAGACUGAAAAUAAUUUUAUCAUAUGUAUGAAGUGUUAGGAGCGGGUGUGGCGGCAGUCCCAAAGGCGCCAGGGACUGCAGCUAAGUCAUAUGACUUGCACCUGACUUCCUCAUAUAAGACACAAACAUCUUGAGUGCUGCGCAGGUGUACCAGGAUACAGGUGAAUCCAAUUUGGUGGAGAUUUGCCCCUGCUGCCCUGAUUAGCUGAAGCUGCGUGCCUGGUGAGGUGGCGUGGCCUGCUGUGCGUGGAUGGGAACUGAGAGUAUAAAAGAGUGAGAGGCCCAGGGUUCGGGGGAGAUAUAAAAACAAGGGAGAGAUAUAAACAAGGGAGAUAAAAACAGGGGAGAUAUACAAACAGGGGAAAUAUAAACAAGGGAGAGAUAUAAACAAGGGAGAUAUAAAAACAAGGGAGAUAUAAACAAGGGAGAUAUAAACAAGGGAGAGAUAUAAACAAGGGAGAUAUAAACAAGGGAAAUAUAGAGAAAGAAGAAACAGGACUGAAUAAACGUGUGCAGAAGGAUCCUGUAGCAGCGUCGUUCUUCCUGGCCAGUUGAGUGCGCGCAAGAAUGAAGUACAUUUUCUUUAGCCAUUCCUCUUCUGGCAGAGGCCUUGGAAAGCUACUAUGAAAGAUGCAGCAAUACCUCUCCUGGGCAUAUAUCCAGAAGAUGUUCCAACUGGUAAGAAAGACACAUGUGCAGUGGAUCUUGAUGGAGCAGAGACUCUCUGUGGAUUAAGAACUUUAUUAUAGAAAUGCAGGGAGAAAGAGAGAAGGUACAAAAGGAGAGAGAGAGAGAGAGAGAGAGAGAGAGAGAGAGAGAGAGAGAGAGAGAAAGAAGAAUAUGAAGAAGAAGAAGAAGAAGAAGAAGAAGAAGAAGAAGAAGAAGAAGAAGAAGAAGAAGAAGAAAGAAGAAGAAGAAGAAAGAGGAGGAGGAGAGGAGAGGAGAGGAGAAGACAAAGAGAAAGGAGAGAGGAGAGAAGACAAAGAGAGGGGAGAGAGAGGGUGAGAGAAGUGAGAGGUAAGAAGUAAGAGCAAGAGCAUAAGAGUAAGAGAGUGAGAUGGGGGUUGAACAGCCCUUUUUAUGGUCUUCAAUGUUGCUAGGUAACUGGGGAGGAGUUUAGCCUGAACAGCAGAAGCUUGAGCCAUUGUCUACGUGACUACUGACCAUGCUUCUCUUGUGGGGGCUGUGGGAGGUGGUAACUUAGGCAGGGACCAGAGUUCCAGGAGCAUAAGGGAACACCUACCUUGUCAUGUAGGAGAAUUAUGACCAUCGGGGUUCAGACCUCAGCUCGACUGGAUAUCAGCCUGCAAUUCACCACAUGUUCCUGUAUAUAUAUAUAUAUAUAUAUAUAUAUAUAUAUAUAUAUGCAUAUGUAUGUAUAUAUGGUUAUGUAUGUUUAUGUAUGUAUCAGUGUUCAUGUGUGCAUGUGUAAGAACGCAACAUUAUUUUCUUCUACAGUUUCUCCCAGUAAUGUUUUAAGACAGAGUCUCUCACUGAACCUCAGGCUUACUGAUUUGCCUAAAAUAGCAAGCCAGCAACUCCAGAGAUCCUUGUAUUUCUUCUGCUCCAGUGCUACUGUCAUAGGGUCCCAGGCCACACCUGUUUUUUACAGAAUGCUAGACAUUCGAAACUUAGGUCCUCAUCCCUGUACAGCAAAAUCUUUAGUAACUAAAUAAGCCAUCUCCCUAUCCCCUCCAGGACUGAUCUAUUCCACAACACCUGUCUAUAUUUAAAAAUGAUGAAAAAUGAUAGUCAGCUUGUGAUACUACAAACACCAUGAUUCUUGAUUACUAGGCCGAAAACACUGUUCCUCAGAAAAGGAGAGCAUAUUAGAACAAAUGAGGCCUCAGAAGAGACUUGAAGGAUG